GUCGUCCGAGUGGAUCCAGCUAGAGCAGAAUGCCCACUCCCAGAAAGGGACCGAGCCACUUCAGUGGCGUCGCAGGUUGCAAGCUCGAGUGAACUUACGUGCGUGUAUGUCAUCCGGCCACCCACAUGCAGUACAUGGAGCCAGACAUGUUCAAAAAGGCUAAUAAAAGGUACACAGACGCCAAAGUCUUGGUAUGUCAGCAAAGGCAUACAAACAGAAAAACCUUCGCAAACAUCGGUUGAAAUUCAGGCGUCGACCACAUCCUCCGAUGCAUUGCACAGCUGUGUUCGU